GAUAGUGUAGCUUAGAGUAAAGCAUAACAUUGAAGAUGUUAGUACGGGUCGUAGAAAGCCCCACGGUCA